GGUAAUAAUAGAAAUCGAUUUACGCAUAAUUUCUUUAUGUGCUAAAAAGUUUUUGGGAAAUGGGAAAUUAGUGAAAAAUUCGUGUUUAAAAAAUCGCAGCGAUAAAAAGUAUCAUAUACAGUGGGCUAUAGUGGACUAAAAUUUAAGAAAAAAAUGUGCAAGUGAUAAUAAUAAUAUAAUCUAAUGAUAAAAUUUUUAAAGCUGAAAACUUGAAGUUUUGGUGUUAAUAAAACUGAAAUUCCAAAAAUAACAACAACAAUUACAAUACCACAGCGCGAAGGAACCAAAUAUUGGUGCGCUGGUGUUUUGACGGUGCACCGAAAUUGAUUUUCUCACUCUCCACCGUCUCAAAACAGAUAUUGUACUUACUCGUAUAGAAAGCUAAUGUCCACUGGCCAUCAUACCCGCGCGGUGGUGGCAAAAAGAAUUCUUUUAGCAUGGUUUAUGUACACGUAUGUAUAGUGAGAAUUUUUGCAAGCAAUAUGCCUCAAUUUCCUAUCGAAAUUUAUUUUUUUUUCACAAUAAUUCAUCAAUAAUCUUCGGUGAAAACACUGAAAUCCUUUGACAGCAAUUUCAAGAGAAACAAAAAUGACGGAAAUUUAGUCGCGAUAAUCAAAUUGCAGAUAAAUAAGUACAUCCAUGCACUGGAAUUUUGAAAUCUGCGAUUAUAUGAAAUUAAUAAAGCGUGGUCACACGCCGAAAUUGAAAGUUUCUGACAGUAAAAUGCAUGAAGGAAAUAAAAUUUUCGUGAAAAUUGCUCCAAUUGAGUCCAAAAUUACACUACGAACACUUUUCCGACAGUUUGCUGAAAAUAUGUUGGGUGUGGUGAAUAAUAUUACUCGUCUGGCAGGAUCGGUUAGUACGGUUCCUGCCAACAGGCGACCAAAGAGGAGAUGUGGUGAUCGCCGAAACUAGCACUCCGACUACUCUACAAUUUUUCUAUUACUUCGUUUAAGAUUCGCAUUAAGCCGAGAAGCAUAAACACCAAAUGUUCUACUCGAGGUGAAUUCGGAUUGGAGUUGGAGUCUGCUAAGCUCAACUUUUCUUAAUCUUGGUAAAAUUUGAGGUAAAUAAGAGUUUCAGCGCUUCAUUAGCUUGUGCAAGCCAAGUGUUCAUAAGCUCAACUUGCCACUCCGUGUAAAAUUGCAAGUGAAAUGGAAAUGUGUGCAACACAUCUAAAAUCUAAAUAAAAAUUUGAAAUUAAAAAUGACAAGCUAAUUUUACUUAUUCUUUAAAAAUUUAUUUCAAUUCAAAUUCUCAUAAAAGUGAACAAAAGAUCCCGGAGAAGCAGUUUGUAAUACACAUGGAUGUGUUUUAUCAAUUGAUUUCGAAGAUAAUGGAACCUCUAUAUCUUGUUUUCGCAAAACCUGAGUCAAUAUGGAUUUUUUUUCGUGAUUUUUCGCUCUCCACUCA